AUUGAACGCUGGCGGCAGGCCUAACACAUGCAAGUCGAGCGGAGCGGCAGACGGGUGAGUAAUGCCUAGGAAUCUGCAUGGGAGUGGGGGAUAACGUUCGGAAACGGGCGCUAAUACUGCACACUCUCAGCUGCGCCUGGGUCGGAUUAGCAAGUUGGGGGGGUAAAGGCCUACCAAGGCGACGAUCCGUAACUGGGCUGAGAGGAUGAUCAGUCACACUGGAACUGAGACACGGUCCAGACUCCUACGGGAGGCAGCAGUGGGGAAUAUUGGACAAUGGGCGAAAGCCUGAUCCAGCCAUGCCGCGUGUGUGAAGAAGGUCUUCGGGUUGUAAAGCACUUUAAGUUGGGAGGCGUUACCAGCAGAAUAAGCACCGGCUAACUUCGUGCCAGCAGCCGCGGUAAUUC
rnacentral:rRNA from 1 species